UACGUAGGGUGCGAGCGUUGUCCGGAAUUAUUGGGCGUAAAGAGCUCGUAGGCGGUGUGUCACGUCGGCCGUGAAAACCUGCAGCUUAACUGUGGCGUGCGGUCGAUACGGGCAUCACUGGAGUUCGGCAGGGGAGACUGGAAUUCCUGGUGUAGCGGUGAAAUGCGCAGAUAUCAGGAGGAACACCGAUGGCGAAGGCAGGUCUCUGGGCCACUACUGACGCUGAGAAGCGAAAGCAUGGGGAGCGAACAGG
rnacentral:rRNA from 1 species